rnacentral:rRNA from 1 species
AUGAACGCUAGCGGCAGGCCUAACACAUGCAAGUCGAGGGGCAUCACGAGGUAGCAAUACUUUGGUGGCGACCGGCGCACGGGUGCGUAACGCGUAUGUAACCUACCUAUAACAGGGGCAUAACACUGAGAAAUUGGUACUAAUUCCCCAUAAUAUUCGGAGAGGCAUCUCUCCGGGUUGAAAACUCCGGUGGUUAUAGAUGGACAUGCGUUGUAUUAGCUAGUUGGUGAGGUAACGGCUCACCAAGGCAACGAUACAUAGGGGGACUGAGAGGUUAACCCCCCCACACUGGUACUGAGACACGGACCAGACUCCUACGGGAGGCAGCAGUGAGGAAUAUUGGUCAAUGGACGCAAGUCUGAACCAGCCAUGCCGCGUGCAGGAAGACGGCUCUAUGAGUUGUAAACUGCUUUUGUACGAGGGUAAACUCACCUACGUGUAGGUGACUGAAAGUAUCGUACGAAUAAGGAUCGGCUAACUCCGUGCCAGCAGCCGCGGUAAUACGGAGGAUUCAAGCGUUAUCCGGAUUUAUUGGGUUUAAAGGGUGCGUAGGCGGUUUGAUAAGUUAGAGGUGAAAUCCCGGGGCUUAACUCCGGAACUGCCUCUAAUACUGUUAGACUAGAGAGUAGUUGCGGUAGGCGGAAUGUAUGGUGUAGCGGUGAAAUGCUUAGAGAUCAUACAGAACACCGAUUGCGAAGGCAGCUUACCAAACUAUAUCUGACGUUGAGGCACGAAAGCGUGGGGAGCAAACAGGAUUAGAUACCCUGGUAGUCCACGCAGUAAACGAUGAUAACUCGUUGUCGGCGAUACACAGUCGGUGACUAAGCGAAAGCGAUAAGUUAUCCACCUGGGGAGUACGUUCGCAAGAAUGAAACUCAAAGGAAUUGACGGGGGCCCGCACAAGCGGUGGAGCAUGUGGUUUAAUUCGAAGCAACGCGAAGAACCUUACCUGCUCUUGACAUCCCGGUGACCGCUCCGUAAUGGGAGCUUUUCUUCGGAACACCGGUGACAGGUGGUGCAUGGUUGUCGUCAGCUCGUGCCGUGAGGUGUCGGGUUAAGUCCCAUAACGAGCGCAACCCCUACCGUUAGUUGCCAUCAGGUCAAGCUGGGCACUCUGGCGGGACUGCCGGUGUAAGCCGAGAGGAAGGUGGGGAUGACGUCAAAUCAGCACGGCCCUUACGUCCGGGGCUACACACGUGUUACAAUGGUAGGUACAGAGGGUCGCUACCCCGCGAGGGGAUGCCAAUCUCGAAAGCCUAUCUCAGUUCGGAUUGGAGGCUGAAACCCGCCUCCAUGAAGUUGGAUUCGCUAGUAAUCGCGCAUCAGCCAUGGCGCGGUGAAUACGUUCCCGGGCCUUGUACACACCGCCCGUCACACCAUGGGAGCCGGUAAUACCCGAAGUCAGUAGUCUAACCGCAAGGAGGACGUCGCCGAAGGUAAAACUGGUGAUUGGGGUG